UGCGAGUCGAGAGUCUUAGGGACUCGGCGUACCGCUCAGUAACACGUGGGUAACCUGCCCUAUGCUGGGGAAUAACCUCGGGAAACUGAGAAUAAUGCCCCAUAGUUCACUACGCCUGGAACGGUGAGUGGAUGAAAGCUCCGGCGGCAUAGGAUGGGCCUGCGGCGUAUCAGGUCGUAGGGGGUGUAACGUACCCUCUAGCCAUCGACGCGUACGGGUGUUGGGAGACAUAGCCCGGAGAUGGAUUCUGAGACACGAAUCCAGACCCUACGGGGUGCAGCAGGCGCGAAAACAUGGCAAUGCGAGAAAUCGUGACCAGGGAACUCCAAGUGGCUGGGGUAAGACCCAGUCUUUUCUUGACUCUUCAAAGGUCUUGGAAUAAGAGGUGGGUAAGGACGGUGCCAGCCGCCGCGGUAAUACCGGCGCCUCAAGUGGUAGUCGAUUUUAUUGGGCCUAAAACGUCCGUAGCCUGUUUGGUACAUUCGUGGGUAAAUCAACCAGCUCAACUGGUUGAAUUCUGCGAGCACGGCCAGACUUGGGACCGGGAGAGGUGUGGGGUACGCUCAGGGUAGGGGUAAAAUCCUGUCAUCCUGAGCGGACCACCUGUUGCGAAGGCGCCACACUA
rnacentral:rRNA from 1 species